rnacentral:rRNA from 1 species
UACGUAGGGGGCGAGCGUUGUCCGGAAUCAUUGGGCGUAAAGCGCGUGUAGGCGGCCCGGUAAGUCCGCUGUGAAAGUCCAGGGCUCAACCCUGGGAUGCCGGUGGAUACUGUCGGGCUCGAGUCCGGAAGAGGCGAGUGGAAUUCCCGGUGUAGCGGUGAAACGCGCAGAUAUCGGGAGGAACACCAAUUGCGAAGGCAGCUCGCUGGGACGUCACUGACGCUGAGACGCGAAAGCGUGGGGAGCAAACAGG